rnacentral:rRNA from 1 species
UAAUACGUAGGGUGCGAGCGUUGUCCGGAAUUAUUGGGCGUAAAGGGCUCGUAGGCGGUUUGUCGCGUCGGGAGUGAAAACGCCGUGCUUAACACGGCGCUUGCUUUCGAUACGGGCAGACUAGAGGUAUUCAGGGGAGAACGGAAUUCCUGGUGUAGCGGUGAAAUGCGCAGAUAUCAGGAGGAACACCGGUGGCGAAGGCGGUUCUCUGGGAAUGACCUGACGCUGAGGAGCGAAAGUGUGGGGAGCGAACAGG